rnacentral:rRNA from 1 species
GGUAGUCUCGCACAGAUGCAUAUCAAUAAGCGGAGGAAAAGAAACUAACAAGGAUUCCCCUAGUAACGGCGAGUGAAGCGGGAAGAGCUCAAAUUUGAAAUCUUAAAGGGUUUCCCUUUACGAAUUGUAGUUUAAAGAAGUGUUUUCUGUUGAGGUUUUGGUAAAAGUUCUUUGGAAUAGGACAUCAUAGAGGGUGAGAAUCCCGUAUUUGACCUUUACUUUCAACUUUGUGAUACACUUUCAAAGAGUCGGAUUGUUUGGGAAUGCAGUCCAAAAUGGGUGGUAAAUUUCAUCUAAAGCUAAAUAUUGGCGAGAGACCGAUAGCGAACAAGUACCGUGAGGGAAAGAUGAAAAGAACUUUGAAAAGAGAGUUAAACAGUACGUGAAAUUGUCAAAAGGGAAGCGUUUGACACCAGUGUUGUUUUUCUGAAAAUCAAUUAAAGAACUGUUUAUGCUAAGCUGUUUAGACUUUAUCAGCUAUCUGUUUAGUUUUGAGCUUUUCUUUAAUGCACUUUUCAGUUAACAAGUCAACAUCAAUUUCUUUUGCUGUAAAAAAGCUUGAGGAAGGUGGCUUGAGAUUCGUCUUAAGUGUUUAUAGCCUCUUGCCUAUGCAGUCGGAGAGAUUGAGGUCUGCAGCGUAGAUCCUUCGGGGCUAAAUGCAUUUGUGCUAAGUUAUAGCAUUUUAUAGACAACUUGUUGACUAUGAUUUGUCUUGUAGCUUACUCGCUUAUGUUAUUUUACCUACGCUUAGGAUGUUGACAGCAGUAUAGACUGU